rnacentral:rRNA from 1 species
UGGGGAAUAUUGCACAAUGGGCGCAAGCCUGAUGCAGCAACGCCGCGUGGAGGAAGACGGUUUUCGGAUUGUAAACUCCUGUUCUUAGCGAAGAAAAAUGACGGUAGCUAAGGAGCAAGCCACGGCUAACUACGUACCAGCAGCCGCGGUAAUACGUAGGUGGCAAGCGUUGUCCGGAAUUACUGGGUGUAAAGGGAGCGCAGGCGGGGAGCAAGUCAGCUGUGAAAUCUAUGGGCUUAACCCAUAAACUGCAGUUGAAACUGUUCUCCUUGAGUGAAGUAGAGGUUGGCGGAAUUCCGAGUGUAGCGGUGAAAUGCGUAGAUAUUCGGAGGAACACCAGUGGCGAAGGCGGAUUGCUGGACGACAACUGACGGUGAGACGCGA